ensembl:lncRNA
UGCAGUGUUGUCAUGUAGUUGGUGAAACCAGAGUUUUUGGCUUGUGACAUCAGCGUGUGCGCUAUUAUCUCCUUUGACUGACGUCAGAUUGUGCGCCACUAUCUCUUUUGUUUACAUGAGGUCAGUCUGUGCAAUGGCGGACGUAGCCAUAAUACGUGAGCUAACAGUUCUUACAACAUCUAUACAGAUACAUGCACAGUUCUCCCAUUAUAUUGCAGAACAAAGGGAUCAGAAUACAAUACUACGCAGUUCACUGCUUGUGACAACACUACCAUGACACAGGGCUCGCGCCAUCGUCGCCGGUUUUGACGAGACCUGGUUGGACCUCUAGUUGGCGUGACAACUUUGAGAUCCUGAACAUGUAAAACAAUACUCCAUCAUUGACUCCAGCAGAGGUGGCCGUAUCGAUGCCGCCUCCUCUUCCCAAACUCGCCAGUCUGUGUCCAUAAAUGGCAUCCAUCUUGUCUAACCACUUGCAAUACUACUCCGGCUGUUGUCGUCUUUCACCUUAGGGUGGUCGUUCUGCAGCUUCUUGCAUUUAAUGCAGCACUGCUCGGACGUCUGCUGGAACCCCUCGGCAGCCAUCCUCUCAGAAACAUGCUGGAAAACAUUUUCAUUUCUCACCAUGCCAUCGAGUUCCCCUUGCACCCUUUCUUCACUGAUGCUACCCAGAAAGUUCGUUGUUGCAGAUCUCGUCCAGUCUGUAUUUUUGGAUAUUCCUCGCCCACCUUGGAUUCACGUGCACUGGGUUGGAGAAUUACAGCGGCUUGAGCGGGCUGGACUUUAUUCCACUGAAGUUAUUAUCCGAUCGUCUUCCAACUCUUCUCACUGCUUGUUGUAUAUCAAAUAAACCCAUUUAAGCUCUUGCACUUGGAUCUCGAGGCUUGAUCAUUGUGACAAUAGGUCUCCUGUUAUUUUCUAAGCUUCUUAAACACAUCUAAGCAUUAGUCCCAGAAGUUGAAGCCACCAGAAGUUUACCAAUAAUAAUGCAAAGAUUAUAUGGGCAAACAAAUUUGUGAAUAGAUAUAAAAUACCCAACGAUGUUCCUGCAUAUUUACAUAUAUGUAUUAAAUGUUAUUAUAUAUGUAAAUAUUAAAAUUAAACAGUAAACAUUAAAAAUUAAACAUAUAUUGUUUUUAUGUAUGGUCACUACAUAUAAUAAUAAAAAAAAUCAUAAUAUACA